AAGGAGAUUGGUUUGUUAGAUGUAGAUGUAUAUGGCCCAUCAAUUCCAAAGAUGAUGAAUCUGAAAGGAAAUCCAGAAUUAUCACAGAACAACCUAAUGAAGCCUCUUUUGAAUUAUGGUAUUGCUUGUAUGUCUAUGGGCUUCCUGGUUGAAGAGACUGCACCAGUUGUUUGGAGAGGCCUUAUGGUAAUGUCAGCCAUUGAAAAACUGUUGAGGCAGGUAAGAA